rnacentral:rRNA from 1 species
UACAGGGGGGGCAAGCGUUGUUCGGAAUUACUGGGCGUAAAGGGUUCGUAGGUGGCUAACUAAGUCAGACGUGAAAUCCCUCAGCUUAACUGGGGAACUGCGUCUGAAACUGGAUAGCUUGAGUGCAGGAGAGGAACGCGGAAUUCCAGGUGUAGCGGUGAAAUGCGUAGAUAUCUGGAGGAAUACCGGUGGCGAAGGCGGCAUCCUGGACCGACAUUGACGCUGAGGAGCGAAAGCUAGGGGAGCAAACGGG